GUGCAGCAGGCGCGAAACCUCCGCAAUGCGGGAAACCGUGACGGGGUCACCCCGAGUGCCACCCGCUGAGGGUGGCUUUUCCCCGGUCUAAAGAGCCGGGGGAAUAAGCGGGGGGCAAGACUGGUGUCAGCCGCCGCGGUAAUACCAGCCCCGCGAGUGGUCGGGACGUUUAUUGGGCCUAAAGCGUCCGUAGCCGGCCCGGUAAUUCCCUCCUUAAAGCCCACGGCUCAACCGUGGGAACGGAGGGAUAAUGCCGGGCUAGGGGGCGGGAGAGGCCGGGGGUACUCCCGGGGUAGGGGCGAAAUCCUGUAAUCCCGGGAGGACCGCCAGUGGCGAAGGCGCCCGGCUGGAACGCGCCCGACGGUGAGGGACGAAAGCUGGGGGAGCAAAGGGGAUUAGAUACCCGUGUAGU
rnacentral:rRNA from 1 species